AACGUACGCUGGCGGCACGCCUAACACAUGCAAGUCGAACGAAGUAGCAAUACUUAGUGGCAGACGGGUGAGUAACAUGUAGGUAUCUGCCCUUUGGCCUGGAAUAACACGAGGAAACUUGUGCUAAUACCGGAUAAGUCUUUACGGAGAAAGCUUUAUGCACCAUUGGAUGAGCCUGCACUUGAUUAGUUUGUUGGUGGGGUAAUGGCCUACCAAGACUGUGAUCAAUAGCUGAUUUGAGAGGAUGAUCAGCCACAUUGGGACUGAGACACGGCCCAAACUCCUACGGGAGGCAGCAGUGGGGAAUCUUGCACAAUGGAGGAAACUCUGAUGCAGCGAUGCCGCGUGAGUGAAGAAGGCCCUUGGGUUGUAAAGCUCUUUCGUCGGGGAAGAAAAUGACUGUACCCGAAUAAGAAGGUCCGGCUAACUUCGUGCCAGCAGCCGCGGUAAUACGAAGGGACCUAGCGUAGUUCGGAAUUACUGGGCUUAAAGAGUUCGUAGGUGGUUGAAAAAGUUAGUGGUGAAAUCCCAGAGCUUAACUCUGGAACUGCCAUUAAAACUUUUCAGCUAGAGUAUGAUAGAGGAAAGCAGAAUUUCUAGUGUAGAGGUGAAAUUCGUAGAUAUUAGAAAGAAUACCAAUUGCGAAGGCAGCUUUCUGGAUCAUUACUGACACUGAGGAACGAAAGCAUGGGUAGCGAAGAGGAUUAGAUACCCUCGUAGUCCAUGCCGUAAACGAUGUGUGUUAGACGUUGGAAAUUUAUUUUCAGUGUCGCAGGGAAACCGAUAAACACACCGCCUGGGGAGUACGACCGCAAGGUUAAAACUCAAAUGAAUUGACGGGGAUCCGCACAAGUAGUGGAGCAUGUGGUUUAAUUCGAAGAUACGCGCAGAACCUUACCAACACUUGACAUGUUCGUCGCGACUCUAAGAGAUUAGAGUUUUCGGUUCGGCCGGACGAAACACAGGUGCUGCAUGGCUGUCGUCAGCUCGUGUCGUGAGAUGUUGGGUUAAGUCCCGCAACGAGCGCAACCCUCACUUUUAGUUGCCAUCAUUAAGUUGGGCACUCUGAAAGAACUGCCAGUGAUAAGCUGGAGGAAGGUGGGGAUGACGUCAAGUCCUCAUGGCCCUUACGUGUUGGGCUACACACGUGCUACAAUGGUAUCUACAACAGGAAGCAAGACUGCGAAGUUAAGCAAAUCCUUAAAAGAUACCUCAGUUCGGAUUGCACUCUGCAACUCGAGUGCAUGAAGCUGGAAUUACUAGUAAUCGUGGAUCAGCGUGCCACGGUGAAUGCGUUCCCGGGUCU
rnacentral:rRNA from 1 species